rnacentral:lncRNA from 1 species
UGGAAUUGUUGUCACAGACUCGAGAUCUGAUUGGUUACCGCCUGGCGACACAAGCCUGGUGUAAUAUGAUUGGAUAAAAACUUUACAAUAAUAUACAACAGUCGGAGCGGCGAAACCGAGCGGAUAUAAUAUGACACGAAGAAAACAGACCAUGGAGAAUCAUUUAUGACCUCUCUACAAACAAAAUCUGAGCAUGUUUAGGUUAGCAGAGAACGUUUUGCUGCGUCUGAUGGCCGCCACUGCGUCCGAGUUUGCGUUGCCACGCACGUCCGUGCACGUGCGUCAAAACCAUGGUAACCAGCGCUGAGUUAAUAAAAGGAGCGCAGCUAUGUGAUUUUACACAUUUGCCUCUGGUCUUGGAGACAUUGGCAGCAACACAAAAAUCUGCGACCGUAUUAAUUUGUUUUGCUGGAGCAAUGGAGCGCCACUUGCCCCCGAGGAUCUGGCAGCUCUGGAGAAGGUUCAGACGGUGGAGCCGCCUAGGCAGACAGCGGUGGCAGCCGGAGGGGGUUGCUGUGCACGGUCCACCUAGACUUCCUCCACCUAGACGUCGGAGACCUCGUUGUGACCCACCCACUUCCCACGUUCAGGAAGUUGGUCCCCCCACCUCUGACAUUGAGGACUCAGGCUCCAUAGUGGAAGGGACCAGCGAGGCCUUAGCGGUUGGGGAGAACAACGAGGCUCCUAGCAGCAGCAGCAGCACAUCUGCUAGAGCAAUAGGUCAGUUCAGUCACAGUGGCACUGGGGACACUUGUCAUCUCCCACUGAAGCUCCUCAAGGGCAGAGGAGGAUGGACUGCAGUGUCAUGUGUUAUGGAGGGGACACAUGGUUGUCUGCUGUUCUAA